rnacentral:rRNA from 1 species
CCUACGGGUGGCAGCAGUGGGGAAUAUUGCACAAUGGGCGCAAGCCUGAUGCAGCCAUGCCGCGUGUGUGAAGAAGGCCUUCGGGUUGUAAAGCACUUUCAGCGGGGAGGAAGGCGUUAAGGUUAAUAACCUUGGCGAUUGACGUUACCCGCAGAAGAAGCAACGGCUAACUCCGUGCCAGCAGCCGCGGUAAUACGGAGGGUGCAAGCGUUAAUCGGAAUUACUGGGCGUAAAGCGCACGCAGGCGGUCUGUCAAGUCGGAUGUGAAAUCCCCGGGCUCAACCUGGGAACUGCAUUCGAAACUGGCAGGCUAGAGUCUUGUAGAGGGGGGUAGAAUUCCAGGUGUAGCGGUGAAAUGCGUAGAGAUCUGGAGGAAUACCGGUGGCGAAGGCGGCCCCCUGGACAAAGACUGACGCUCAGGUGCGAAAGCGUGGGGAGCAAACAGGAUUAGAUACCCCAGUAGUC